rnacentral:rRNA from 1 species
GGUUAAGCGACUAAGCGUACACGGUGGAUGCCCUGGCAGUCAGAGGCGAUGAAGGACGUGCUAAUCUGCGAUAAGCGUCGGUAAGGUGAUAUGAACCGUUAUAACCGGCGAUUUCCGAAUGGGGAAACCCAGUGUGUUUCGACACACUAUCAUUACGUGAAUACAUAGCGUAAUGAAGCGAACCGGGGGAACUGAAACAUCUAAGUACCCCGAGGAAAAGAAAUCAACCGAGAUUCCCCCAGUAGCGGCGAGCGAACGGGGAGCAGCCCAGAGUCUGAAUCAGCUUGUGUGUUAGUGGAACGGUCUGGAAAGUCCGACGGUACAGGGUGAUAGUCCCGUACACCAAAAUGCACAGGUUGUGAACUCGAAGAGUAGGGCGGGACACGUGGUAUCCUGUCUGAAUAUGGGGGGACCAUCCUCCAAGGCUAAAUACUCCUGACUGACCGAUAGUGAACCAGUACCGUGAGGGAAAGGCGAA